rnacentral:rRNA from 1 species
UACAGAGGGGGCAAGCGUUGUUCGGAAUUACUGGGCGUAAAGGGUGCGUAGGCGGGUCUUUAAGUCAGGGGUGAAAUCCUGGAGCUCAACUCCAGAACUGCCUUUGAUACUGAAGAUCUUGAGUUCGGGAGAGGUGAGCGGAACUCACGGUGGAGCGGUGAAAUGCGUUGAUAUCGUGAGGAACACCGGAGGCGAAAGCGGCUCACUGGGGCUUCACUGACGCUGAGGCACGAAAGCUAGGGGAGCAAACGGG